rnacentral:tRNA from 2 species
AGACUCAUAGCUCAAUGGUUAGAGCAACCAGCUCAUAACUGGUCAAAUACAGGUUCAAAUCCUGUUGGGUCUACCA